rnacentral:lncRNA from 1 species
AGCUCAGCCACAACCUGUUUGUAAUCCUUCCUGUGUGAUGCAGGGGAACCUCUUUGAAGAGAGAAGAGAGAUGGAGAAUUAGGAGAAAAAAGUUCCUGUGAAGUAUUUGCCUGUGCCAGCUUCUGCCUAGUAAGCACUUGGAAUUCUGAAGGUUUAUCAUUUGGAAUUUGGCUUUUGCAUCUUCCGUUGCUUUUGCUUCACUUUUGCCCCUAUUGCAAAUCCAUUAAGCAUACCUGUUGAAAUGCAUGGAGAGAAGUUGUUUUAACUGUGGAUCUAGACAUAUAUCUGGUAGGCACAUUUGUUACUCCUUUGGACGUUAGAUGCGUUGGGAUGCUAAAAGUUAAAACAUGAUUAUUUACUAUUGACCUGUGAUUUUGCAUUCUGAGAAUAAAAGAUGUUUGUAAACCA